rnacentral:misc_RNA from 1 species
CCUCGUUCAUGGCGCGAUAGGUCGCAUCGCGCGGCGACAAUCCUUCCUCGAUGUUGCGCUCGACGUUUUCCACCACGACGAUGGCGUCAUCGACCACGAUGCCGAUCGCAAGCACCAGGCCGAACAGGCUCAGCGCGUUGAUGGAGUAGCCGAACAGCAGCAGCACCGCGAAAGUGCCGAUGAUCGAGACCGGCACCGAGAUCAGCGGAAUGAUCGACGCGCGCCAGGUCUGCAAGAACAGGAUGACGACCAGCACCACCAGCGCGACGGCUUCGAGCAGGGUGUGGAUCACGGCUUCAAUCGACGCGCGGAUGAACCGCGUCGGAUCGUAAGCGAUCCGGUAGUCGACGCCCUCGGGCAUGUUCGC